CGCACACGCUGCGGGAUCCCUCCGCCUCAGGUUAACCCCGACUGCGCCGGGCCGGCGACUGGGUAGACACGUGGGAAAGAAGCCCCCCUCCUCUGCACCCUGGACCUGGAACUGCUGCCUUUACUGCCUGGGCGGGGCAAUCUUUCCCGGGAGGGGGAUGGAAGAGGUAAGAGAUUGGCCGCUGCUCUGCAUCCUGGGAACUGGAGUCCGCAAAUGGAGAAAGUGAGGCACCGCGCCUGGCACUGCAAAGGGUAGGUUCUUGCCACGUUGGGGGGUCCCGAAGAAAAUUGAACAAGUCUCUGGUCUUCGGACACUCGUAUACCCUCAUGAGGAAGGACCACCCAGUGCCCUCACAAUCCCCAACACAUAGCACCUCCCCUUCAAAACAUUAAUGCAGAGCCUAAGAAGCCUUUGCAGGGUGUCCCCACCCCCAUCUCUAGUCUUUCCAAAUCUCCAAUACCAGCUCUUUUUUUUUUUUUUUUUUUAAAUAAGUUCGGCCUCGUUACUACCUGGCCGAAAUACUGUUACUUGGGACAAUAUCAAAGAACACACUCCUGACAGGCACUCACAUUCCAGUCUUGGAUGAGAGAAACAGAUUGGAAUGCAUUUUCUGCUUGAGCUAUAUGUACACAUGAGGUAGGCAGGAGACAAACUAUUGCUAGAUACUUGAUAUCUUAGUUAUUCCGAACCACAUUAUGAAUUACAUAGAAAUAUCUCCCUAUUACAGAUAAAAAGAUUGAGGCUAAAAUAGAUAAAAUUGCCCAAGGAAUCACAUUGUGAGAACUUGAACAGUGAUUUAAACCAAAAGCCAUGUUUUCUUUUUUUUUUUAAAGCCAUGUUUUCCUACAAUUUAAAAAUACUUUUUUAAAAAAGGCAGGAAAAGGGGGCGGGGAUUUAGGUCAGCGGCAUAAGCGCCUGCCUUGCAAGCAGGCAGUCAUGAGUUCGAUCCCCGGUACCGAUAAAAAGACAAAAAAAAAAAAAAGGCAGGAAAAGAAGCAGGCAAGUUUGGUCCACAGCCAAGUGUGGUAGUGUAUGACUGUAAUCCCAACAACACUUGCUAGCAUGGACUACACAGUGAGAUCCUGUCUCAAAAAAAAAAAAAGUUCAGAGCCAGUUUUGUGGAGAAAGGAUUCCAUUAAAGUCCAAAGAAACUUUCUGCAAUAAUACAAAGUACUGUUUCUAUAUGAUAAUAUAGCUGAUAACUACAUGUAGCUAUCCACACAUAAGCAUCACAUCCUCUGUUCUGACCACUCGGGUCCAUUUCAGAGAAAAACAACGAAACAGCUUCAGCAGUGACUUUGCACCUGUCCCUACUGUAGUAAAAUAACUGGGAGACAAGUUGGAAAAGAACCUUUCCCGACCAGAGGCAGGGAAAGGUAGACAGACCCUUACCAGAAGGACCUCCAGUAACAGCUGCCAUUUUUAAGAGCUUAUUAUGGGGCUGGGAAUUUAGCUCAGCAGUAUAAGCGCCUGCCUUGCAAGCAGGCAGUCGUGAGUUCGAUCCCUGGUACCGAUAAAAAAAGACAAAAAAAAAAAAGAGCUUAUUAUGUAGAAUGCUCAUCUUUAUAUCAUCUCAAUUCUCACCUCAACUCUCUGAAGCAGGCUUAGCUACAUUUUGUAACUGAGGCCCAGAGAAAUUAAAUGGCUACCCAAGUGCCUAUAUAGAAAAGCCACUAACCACUAAAAUCACUUUGUCUCCAGGAUUUGAGAUUGCUUGUGGAUCUAGAAAAUAUCAGCUGUUUAUAAGUGUACCCCAGACCUGAUAGAUAUGGCAGAGGUAGGUCCCUGAAAUGACUGUCCUGGUCAGAUGUACAAAAAGACCUUAUUAUAGUGAGAAAAGAUUGUGACAAGCCUGAAGAAUCUCUUAAGCCACUGAGAUUGUUCUUCAGAGUAUGUUUUUUCAGCAGUCCUUAUUCAUUUUUGGAUUCUGGAUCACAAAAAGAAAAGCAGCUGGCAGGAUUUUUGAAAAUCAGAUGACAAAUCGUCUUCAACUAUAUACCUAGAGCUACACACUGACAAGAUCAGAACUAAUUUUGUCUAUCCUCCCCAAGUAAGUGUAUUAAAAGGGUACUUCAGCCUCCUUUAGUUAGCAGGAGAGAUCUUUGUCCUCACUGUAAAAAUGACACUGAGGUAACCACUAUACAGAUAACCCUAACAAGUCCUUGGAGAAGACUUGCUGGCUUUCAGGUUGGGAGCAAUAUGGAGUCAAGAAAAAUAGAGGCAAAAAGAUCAAAACCAAAAUUGAAAUAUCCAUUUCCUUCUGAGGCAGCAAUCAAUGGAAAGGUCAGAAAUCAAAGCCUUUUAACAUCUAAAAAAAAGGUACACAAUUGCAGAAAUGUGAAAAGAUCACCAAAUGUAUGAAUGCCCAUUGUUAUAAUGAAAAAGAUUAGUUAUAUGAGGGGCAGAUGGACUGGUGCAGUAUGGGUAUUCUUUGCAACUUUCUUGGGGAAUCAAAAUCUUUUAGUUUCUACCUUUAUAUUCCUUCCUGAUUUUGUUUUUUGAAACAGGAUCUGAGUAGCUUAGGCUGGCCUUAAACUCUCCAUUCUCCUGCCUCAGCCUCUCCAAUGCUGAGAUUACAAGCAUGCAAGCAUGCACCACCAUGCCCAAUUCCCCUCAGAAGUGAGGGGCUUCCUUUCCCCCUCCGCAAAUCCUAGCCACUGAGUUGCAGCAAGUGCCAAGGCCCAUGGAUAGCCAGGCUAGCAUGUGGCAGCUGGCCACUAGAGGGUGAUGUUUCUGCAGUUAAAGGAUCCUCAGCCACAAAUUUGGAUGGGUAGGACCUCCAACUAAACUGUACAGUACAGGGAGAAUCAAACAGAAUAGGAAGGUGAGAAAAGGAAGUAUAAAUCUUAAGAGUAAUGGUCCUGGUAGGCGUGGUGGCUUACACCUAUAAUCUCAGCAUUCUGGAGGCUGAGAUGGGGGAUCAAAAAAAAGUAAUGGUCCUUAAUAAAUGACUAAUAAGGACUAGGAAUGAGAUAGGAGGAAAGAUCUCCAAAUACCACAGCCACUAUGACACGGUAUGCUCUGCCUUGCCCCAGAUACAGAGACAUAAACACAAAUGAUUGUUGAUUUUAUUUGCAUAUAUGCAUUGUCAGCCCAGGGAGUCAACUCUUUCAGGAGUCCCUAGCUCUCCUUACCCACCCAACACCUGAAACCUACACAGAAUGAGCCCUUGACAAACAAUCAGAGGACUCAAUUACCAAUUCUGCAUAUUAUAGCAGUUCAUUUAGAACAAAUAGGGAUAGGGGCCAGUGCCCAUGGGACACCCCUGCCCUUUUGUAAACAUUGACACCCAGGCCACUGGAGCCUAGGGAAGGUAUGCAAAUGUGAGGGUACCACACUGUUCCCAUAAGGCCAUAGACACACUGGCAACCAUACCCAUAAAGUCCUGAGGGUCUGCCCUCACUGAAGCAUUUGCCAAGGGCAGAAACAAGGCAGUCACCCCAUGCCUGAGAGUUCACAUGAGACAGCAUCGAUGAUCUUGCUCAUAGGAAUUCUCCACACGGGCAAUCUCCUGGAUAACUCUGGUGAAGAUGCUUUGAGUCAGCUACAAGGAAGGGACAAGCAUUCAAGGGAAAUCAGUUAGCUCAGUGCCAAUAUCAGCUUGCUGUAAGACUGUCCCAUCCCCAUCAUCCCCACCACCAAAAAAAUGUACAAGGAAAGCACUGCUAUCCCCAGUUUUUAGAAUUCAGGCCCAGCACCUGAUGCUCUCGAGCAGAUGACUCCAUAAACGUUGCACCCCAGGACUCUGCUAGUUUCUUCCCUUGGACUGCCUGCACCUCUCUGGAAGCAAAUUCAGGACAUAAAGAUGCAAGAUAGCAACCUCUCCAAGUUUUCUGCAAAAUAUAAUCUAGACUUUACAAUCUGAUGCUUUAGAACUGAGGCUUAAAAUAAUAAAACUGCAGCUCUUGUGAUAGGAGGCUUUUUUUUUUUUUUUUUUUUUUUUUUUUUUGAGACAGGGUCUUCUUAUGAGGAUCAGGCUGACUGUGAACUUAUUUAUGUGGCCGAGGCUAGCCUUGAACUCAUGGUGAUUGUCUUGCCUCAGCCUCCCCAGUGCUGGGAUUAUAGGCGUGUGCUACCACACCCAGCUCAGAAGAGCUAUCUUCGGGGCUGGGGAUUUAGCUCAGCGGCAUAAGCGCCUGCCUUGCAAGCAGGCAGUCGUGAGUUCGAUCCCUGGUACCGAUAAAAAGGAAAAAAGACAAAAAAAAAAAAGAGAGAAGAGCUAUCUUCUCCAUUAAAUUAGAAAUAGAGAUGAAAUGACUUGAGUCAGCAGUGCAGGCAGGAUUGGAGUUUGACUAAUUACUAGCUCUUCUAGAGAUUUACAUACCUAUCUGAAGAAAGAUCUGCCUUGUUCCCCACUAGCACCACUGGCAACCUGUAAGGAAACAGCAAUCAUUAUAGGACUUCUCCCACGUUCUAUGAACCCCAACUGUGUUCAUAUCCAGGCCUUUAUAUACCAUCAAAAUAGUCCAAAUCUAUACCCCUACUUCCUCUGUGACUUGGACAGUUAAGCUCUCUGCUGUCUCCCACUGUUUCUUUCCCACACUGUGUUACUGAUUGGGCCACUUACUGGGUCUUCCCAUGGCCUUGGUGUAGCUUCUGGUACAGAUUCUCAAUGAUAUGGAAGCUUUAAACACAAGAAACAGAGAUGUGACCUUAGUUCUGGGAAGUCCUCAGGUCCUCCCCAAGUCCCCCGCUCACAACCUUGGUCACUUACCUAUGCAAAGAGGUGACAGAAUACACAAGCACAUAACCAUGGAUCCCAACGAUGAAUGAAUAGGGCAGAAUGCUGUAUUCAUCCUGACAAGAAAUAGAAACAUCAGUACCUAGAUCCAUACCAUGCAGAUGCCAAAGGCUAGUGGGACAGCAUCCAAGUGACCCUCCCUGCAGUGUUCCCUUCUUGUCACUUCUUGUCAACAAGUAUUUAUGGAGUAGCUCCAAAAAGUUGUGCACACUGCUAGAAACUAAAAUACUAUUCUUUGAAUACUGCUUUACACAUGAACCAGAAGUUAGCAGACUUCAUCUCCUAGGGCUGAACUGCCAUAUUUGGAUACCCUACCCCAACUGGUACCUGCCCUGCUGUGUCCACCAGGUGUAGGUGAAACUCAUCUUUGCCAAGAGUCACUAUCUUGCUGUAAGCUGAAAAGAAAAGAAAACUUGACUGUGAUGUGUCUUGUAGCACUAGCAAUGUAUGCUCCCUAUAUUCUUUACCCUGGGAGUUACAUAACUGGAUCAGAUCCAUGGAGUUCUCCAGGAAACUAGAGAGACAAGCCAGUGGUUUUGUUUAUUCUGUUCUGAGACAUGGUCUCACUGUGUAGUUCAGUCUGGCUUUAAACUUGUGGUGAUCCUCCUGUCUCAGCCUCCCUAGUGCUGGUAUGGCCCACCACACUCAGCUCUAGGAUACUUAUUAUCUCCAGAACUGCUAGAGAAAUUAGAUUUAGGAUAUUUAGGGUAUUUAUUAUCUAUAGAAUUGCUGGAGAGGUUAGAUUUAAGGAUUGAAUAAAUCAGCUCCUGGUUUGGAAAUCCCAAAUUAUGGAGCUGGGUGGAGCACCCAAGAACUCCAAGACCCCUCCCUGUUACACUAAAAGUAAGAAAACUACUCACCAUUCUCCACUGUAGGAUCAUAGCAUUCCAAGAACUCGCCUUUCACAAACUGAUGUGCCAAAGAUGUCUUCCCUUUGAGAGAAGGUAGUUAGCAGUUGCAUUACAAUUAGCCAUUCAACUUAUUUGUCCUUUUGGACUGUGACCCAGGACUAAAGGGCACCCCAAAUCAGCAUCCCGAUCUGAAUUUCCCAAGCAAGGUCUUCCUUUACCCUGUUAUCGAUUUCUGUAUGUGUUAUGGUCACACGAAUCCUGAGGCUCCACAGGCAGGCUUUCCCGCCGCCUUUUCCCACCAUAUUCCCAUCUGAUCCAAGACUCCCUAAAACCAAGCCCGGCCCGCCCCUGAACAUUUGCGACUAUUUGCUCCAAGAAGACAGCGCCAGUGAGUUCAAAUCCCGACCCCACCCUUCCAGCUUAAUAGCGGGGACCAUUGUGAUGCUCCUAAAGCCAAGUUUAAUCCUUACAUGCUCCGCUUACCGCAGCCCUCGACACAGCAUCAGCCUUCUGCCCCCAUCCUCCCAAACCUCACUUCUUCCGGGGUCGCCGCGGUUGCCCGGGGCGCAUUCCCGCUCUGCGAAGGGCGGAGCUCACCUACAGAGCGGUGCCCGAGGAUCACCACCUUCCUGUAGCGGACCAGCGGCAUGGCAGGAACCAGCCCCGAGUGGCUUGCGCAACUGCAAGACGAGAGAGCCCAAAGAAGGCACUCGGGGGUAGCUACGUGCAGCAACCAAGCACGAAAGUUGUGCGAGCCGCACCUGCCCAAGUAAGCUAAAGAAAAACCAAAACAAGCGCCGCGCCCGGAGCCGGCCACGUGAUCACAACACUGCACUAUUAAGGAGAAGCUGGCGCCAGGGAACUUCAGUGCCGGGCUGCUCCAGGCUCCGCCCCCUAAGUUGCUCUCCAUUGGUCCAUUAGAAAGGAUUAAGGCGGUACCGCUGUCGGGAGAAAAAGGAAUCUAGGGGCUGAGUUUGUCUCUGUCUCUGCUGCUCUUGGACUCCCUCAUGUGGCUUCAGGUAGCUUUAAACUCCACUGGGAAAGGAAGGCCUCACUCUGGAGUCCUGGAUCUGGUUCUGGGCUAGGCUGUGUGUCUUUCUCUGUGUCUCUCCUCGCUUAGCCAUCCAGCUUGAGCUUCUGUACGUGGAGACACAAGCAUCUACAAGGGCAAAGGUUCUGGAACUGGCAGGGCAUUUAUGGCCUACAACAGUAAUGCCUGUACUCAGGAGGUGGAGACAGGAAGAUCUCCAGAAUUCAAGGCCAUACCAGAGAGACACACUAUCUCUAACAAAAAAAGAAGGAAAAAGAAAAGAUCAGAAUGGACCCAACAACAUGGUGACGUCUGCCACCCAUUUUCAGUCUGAGCAAGUCACAGUGUCAGCCCAGAUUCAAGGCACAGGAAAUAGAAUCUAUUUCUUGAAAAGAAGAAUUGCAAAAUAUUGUGGCUAUUGUUUAUCCUACCACAGAGUAUCUCCAUUGACUGAAGUCCAAGCUGGAGUUCUCCAUUUACCCAGUCCUCCAGGUUUCCACAGCUAUAGAAGAGCCCUACAACUCCAUCCCUACCAUCCACACCACCCUGGAGCACUCUGUGCCUUCAUGGUAGGCAACAAGGCCAUCUGUGACAUCUGUCGUAGAAACCUCAAUAUUGAGCACCCCACCUACACUAACCUGAUCUUGAUGAUACUCAAUUUGUUUAGUCACUUGAAUGUUGAGAACCUAUUUGGGAGCCGGGUAUGGUGGUACACUCUUAUAAUCCCAACACUUGGGGGGCUGAGGCAGGAGGACUGUUGCAAGUUCAAAACCAACCUGGGCUACAAAGUGAGCUCAAGACCAGCCUGAACUGCAUAGUGAGACCUUGUCUCAAAAGUUAAAAAAGAAAUAUAUAUAUAUAUAUAUAUAUAUAUAUAUAUCUGCAGUAACAGAAACACCCAGUUAUAUACCUUUAAAAAUAAUCAUUUAUUUUUCUCAUGUAAUAAAUCUGGAAUAAACAACAUUAGUUCAGUUUCUCCAAAUGUAAUUACAGUUCCCUCUGAAUUUGUUUGUCUGAAACAGUGUCUCACCAUGUAGCCUAGGCUGGCCUUGAACUCAGUGAUUCUCCUGCCUUAGCCUCCAGAGUACAGCAUUACAGACAUGCACCAUCAUGCCUGACAUAAAAAUAAAAAUUUUUUAAGGCUGAGAAUAUAGAUCUGUGUAAAGCCCUUGUAUUCAAUCCCCAGUGCAAAUAAAUAAAUAAUGGAAGUGGUCCAAAAAUCAGUCAACCACCUGAGUGGUGAGAAAUUAUGGACAUAGUCAUGAAACAAGUACAACACUUGGGGAACAUUGGAAUAAACAGUAGGAUCUUUGCUCUUUCUUCUGGAGGGAGAAUAGUACCAUGAGAUAACUGUGCUCUAUAAAGAUUCCCCAGUGGUCCUAUGCAGACCUGGUGGCCUUACAGAAAAGGAGAUCUCCAGCAGAGGACUUGGGGCUAAGUGCAGGAAGCCCUAAGAGAAAGCCAGUGACCAAGGGAAGAUGAUGGCUGGUCUAGGGUAGAAUUCAGACAAAGGGUAUUCUGAAUAAGAGUUAGGAAUAUUGAGCCAGGGAUGAUGGUAGAUGCCUGUAGUUCCAGCCAGUCGAGAAGCUGAGGUGGGAAGGUCUCUUGAGCUCAAGAGUUUGGGAGGCCAGUCUGGGAAAUAUGUUAAAGAGUUUGUAAAAAAUAAAAUAAGGGGGCUGGGGGAUUAGCUCAGCAGCAUAAGCGCCUGCUUUGCAAGCAGGCAGUCGUGAGUUCGAUCCCUGGUACCGAUAAAAAUGAAAAAGACCAAAACAAGAAUAAAUAAAUAAAUUAAUUAAUUAAAUAGGGCUGGGGAUUUAGCUCAGCGGCAUAGGCACCUGCCUGGUAAGUGCGAGGUCAUGAGUUCGAUCCACGGUACCGCAAAAAAAAAAAAAAGAAAAGAAAAGAAAAUUUUAAAAAGCUGUAGUCCCUCUGCCCUAUAAUCUCAGCAUGCAGGAGGCUGAGACAGGAGGUUUACCUGAGCCCAGGGAUUACAGGCCAGCCUGGGCAACAUGUUGAAACCUCAUAUCAACAACAAAAUAAAGCCAUGCAUGGUGGCACAUGCCUGUAAUACCAGCCACAGGAAGCUGGGCUAUUUAGCAAGUUCAAGGCCAGCCUGAACUACCUAACAAGUUUCAGUCUCAAAAAACCAAAACAAACUUUUUAAAUAAAAAACAUCAAAAGAGGCCAGUAUGGUGGCACACACCUGUAAUCCCAGCACUUGGGAGGCUGAGGCAAGAAGAGCACUAAGAGUUUGAGGCCAGCCUGGGCUACAAAGUGAGCUCAAGGCCAGCCUGAACUGCAUAAUGAAAUCCUGUGUUAAAAAGAUAAGGAGAGGGGCUGGAGAUUUAGCUCAGCGGCAUAAGCGCCUACCUUACAAGCAGGCAGUCGUGAGUUCGAUCCCUGGUACCAAUAAAAAGGAAAAAGACAAAAAAAAAAAAAAAAAAAAAAGACAAGGAGAAGGGGCUGGGGAUUUAGCUCAGCGGCAUAAGCGCCUGCCUUGCAAGCAGGCAGUUGUGAGUUCGAUCCCCAAUACCGAUAAAAAGGAAAAACACACACACACACAAAAAUUGGUUUCUCAGGAGAAGAAGUCCAAAAUGAUCAGAAUCUUUAGCUUGAUACAAAGCCUCUUAGUAUUUACAGGGUUUAAUAAAGAUCUGUUGUAGAGUAGGAGUCAAGCCUCUGAGGCUAAGAAGAACCUCCCUGUCCCUUUGUGUUACUUUGCCUUGUUGAAAUCUCAAAAAAGACUCUUUUCCACCUCUUGGAAGCACCUCAGGGUGGCCUCUGGCAACUUGUACAAAGUAACUUCCUCAAGGUCACACAGCUGGUAAAUGAAAUGUAGAGACUAUACAGCCCUAUUGUUUUUAACUGUAAGAUCUAGGUUCAGUGAAAAGCAAGGGGUUUAAAAGUGACAGCCACUGGUGUGAUGCUUGAUCUUCCCCAAUACACUCCCAAGAAUCUGUAGGCUUUGGUAUAGAGUCCUUCAAGGAUAAAGAAAUCUACCUCUUCCUUGUCCCACCAGAGAAAAGCCGUUUAUCUUUAGGAAAUUCUAACAGUACAAUUCAGACAAUUCAAAGAAUAGUUUGCCCCCAUCGGUUUACAGAAGGAUUGAGAGAGCUAGUAGAGGCCUCUCUUGACUUCCUAAGAAAGAGCUCACAUGCCUCAGGCCAGCCGUGUCCAGGAGAAGGUGGGUAACAGUAGGCUACAGCUUACUUACAGAAGAGAUCUGUGGUAUUUAUUCUUGAAGAUUCUGCAAGAUACUAUAGACUGGCCAAAGAAUGAAGACGGGAUAUGUGUGGGAGAAAUGGAAUUAAACCCAUCUCAAACGCUGUGUGGAAUCCCAGCUGCUGCAGCUGCUGAGGGCUUAACCAGCUGUUCCCUGGGCAGCUGCAACGUUCAGUGCAGGCCUACUCUCUUCUCAGGUGGCAGAGCCAUCUCAGCUUGUGACCAUCAGCUUUAAGCUAAGCCAAAGCUCUGCUCAAAGGAUCAUUAGAAAGCAAAAGAGAAUAGCAGAGAGAGAGUCCUCAAGUCCAAGAGUUCUGUUUAAUGUUAUGUGCUUUGAAAUUUGACAACUUCUUAGGUUAUUGGUUACAAGGAAAGAAGUUGAGAAAGUUUGGAUUUAGGUUUCUUCAUUUGCUUGCUUGCUUAUGGCUUGUUUUUGUGGGAUUGAACUCAAAACCUCAUACUGAGUUAUAUCCCCAGCCCUUUUUUAUUUUGAAACAGUUUACUCAUUAAAUUUCCCAGGACAGACUUGUCUCAGCUUUCUGAGUGGAUGGGAUUACAGUCCUCAGCCACUCUACCCAUCCUGGGUUUAGAUUUCUGAGAAAAACCAAACCAGGCUGGGCGUGGUGAGGCUGAGACAGGAAGAUCGCUGCAAGUUUGAGGCCAACCUGAACUACAUAACAAGUUCACUAUGUAGCCAGCCUGGACUAUAUAGUAAAAGCCUAUCUCAACAAACCAAAUUAAUAAUAAUAAUACUAGAAAACUCAACUCACCAUUGGAAGUAUCAGCUUUAAUUCUGCUCCUAUACUAACCUGCUCCAAUUUUCCUAUGCUGUCCACCAUCUGCUCCUGUAAAGCAAUCAAGUGGAAGUGGAAGCACUUCCUACUUGUGACUGAAACUAAAGUAGAGAAAGAAAGAAACUAAACCAGAGAUACUCAUGUGCUCAGGAGAGAACUAAUCUACCUGGGCAUAAAGACUAUCCAAAGAGCCCCAUCCAAUUGCUAGUUUCCUUGUUUAUUUGGAGACAAAAUCUUACUGUGUAGUUCAGGCCAGCCUUGAACUCAUGAUCCUCCUGCCUCAGCCUCCCAAGUGCCAGAAUUAUAGGCAUGUGCCACCAUACUGAGUUGCCAGUUUCCUUUUCAAAAUGCAAAUUUAAUUGUUCCCUUCUGCAGGAUUAUCCUUGUUUCAAACUCAAUGAUUGCUUUUAAUUUUUCUUUCUCUUUUGGUUUUUGAGACAAGGUAUCACUAUGUAGCUCAGACUGACCUCGAACUCACUGCCUUAGCCUCCCAAAUCCUAGGAUUACAGGCAUGCACUACCAUGCCUAGCUCAACAAUUGUUUUUCAUCUUUAGACAAAAUUCAAAAUCUCUCCUUCUAGCUAUACUGAACCUGCUGAUGCUUUUCAGCUUCAUCUCACUCAUGCUUUCAACUCCAGGGCUUCACACAAGCUUUUCCAUCUGCUUAGACUACCCUCCAAUGACUUGUCGUCAUUUUGUUAAAUGAACUGUAAUUAUGGUUGUACUUACUAUCCUGUCCUUAACAUGCAGCAGAAUGCACAGCAGAUAGUAGGCAUUCAGUAAAUCCUAUUGGGUCAAAGACAGCCCUCCAUAGAUAAAUAAAGCUCAUCUGUGCACAUCAGCAAGGUCACAUGCAGAGACAAUAACAGGAAGAGGAGUUUGAAUGUGCUAUUUGGCCACAAAAAUGACCCGCAGGGAAAAGGAUCCUGACUGACAAUAUGUUCCUUUUCCAUAGAUAACUGCCUCGGUUUCCCAGCCUGAGAAGAAAGCUUCUGAUAUAGCACAGCCAGAAAAACAGUCAGGCAUAAAUGUGUCGUUUCUAGCUCAGAAAUACAUAUUUUUUCCAAGGACAGUGAUUAUUUUCAACACUUAGCACAUAAAACUGAGUUCAGCAGGCCCAUCUCUUACAUUUCUACUGUAAAUCUGUACUUUAGCAUUAUGGUAGCCAGCAGUCCAUCUCAGUACUUUCCCUGAGGAAUACAUGAAGCAAUCUAUAUGUUUAUGUACUUGGUAUGACUAAUGCCAAGGAGUAUGCAUAUGUGCAAAAGUGUCAAAAUGGGAUUUGGACUUACUUUUAUGCUCCAUUUAACGAGUUUUACAUAUGUUUACCUGAGCAUUACAGAGGGUCCAAUAGACCCACAUCACUCCAGGAUUUGUUUUUUUAAAGUUUUCUUUUGAUUUUUUUUUUCUGGUUGAAGUAGCACAAUUCAGUACCAUGGCACAUGAAAAACCAGAUUUGCAAGCUUUGGAGGAGAUGAAAGUGAAUCAUCCGGUUACUUGUGCAUGGCUGAUGAAGAUGACCCAUUAUGGUAAAAUACAUGUUUUUGUAACAGAAGAAUAGUGUGGGUGGAUGAUGAUGAUGGUGAUGGUGACGACUUUGACACUGGUUGUGUGAGCCAAAGUUCCUGUGACAGUGAAAUGAAGCAAGAAUCCACUAAUACAGACACAGGGGAUGCAGACCUCUUUGAUUCAGAUGACAAAGAAACACAAUGUGACUAGUUGAAAUGUUACAAAAUGACCAGCAACCAAAUGGAACAAUCCAAUGUUAGAAAUAUAUCCAAAAAUAUAGUGAAGGUCUUGGCAGGGGUGAGACACAUUGGGAAGAAUGCCAGCACUGCCAUUCGGUGUUGGAAAUUGUAAGAUACAAAAUGGUACAAGAAGCUGUGAAAUAUACAAAGACUGAAAUGUAAGUUAAAAGUUAUGUAUGCAUCAAUAGCCAUAUUCAAAACUAUAUGUAUUAGACACCUCACUAGCUAAACUGAAAGCAUUCAUGGGUCUGCUGUACUUAUCAUGGAUUUCUUAUAGUGAUCACAGGAAUGUAAAAGACUUAUGGAAAAGAGAUGGCUCAAAAUAAGUCAUAAAUGUUAUGCCUUGGUACAUGCAAA